rnacentral:tRNA from 1 species
GGAGCUGUGGCUCAGGGGUAGAGCUUCUGCUUGGCAUGCAGAAGGUCCCAGGUUCAAUUCCCGGCAUCUCUA